rnacentral:misc_RNA from 1 species
GUCUAGUGUUUCGAGUAUCCUACUCUGACAAACAAACCAAGCGUGAAUGUGUUGCGGAUGCCUUGCGGCCCCGAACGUAUGUGGGAGGGAGUGUGACUAGUGUGAUUAGCGUGAUUAGCGUGAUUAUACAACCACGACACAACCACCCCCACCAAUCCCACCCAACCACCUCCCAUGACUCGCAAUGAUCCUUCCGCAGGUUCACCUACGGAAA